rnacentral:tRNA from 1 species
UGGCUCAGAUGGUAAAGCGUCUGCCUGCAGUGCGGGAGACCCGGGUUCGAUUCCUGG